UCCAGACUCCUACGGGAGGCAGCAGUGGGGAAUAUUGCACAAUGGGGGGAACCCUGAUGCAGCGACGCCGCGUGGGUGAAGGAGCACCUCGGUGCGUAAAGCCCUAUCGGCAGGGAAGAAACAGACGGUACCUGACUAAGAAGCCCCGGCUAACUACGUGCCAGCAGCCGCGGUAAUACGUAGGGGGCAAGCGUUAUCCGGAUUUACUGGGUGUAAAGGGGGCGCAGACGGCGAUGCAAGCCAGGAGUGAAAGCCGGGGGCCCAACCCCGGGACUGCUCUUGGAACUGCGUGGCUGGAGUACGGGAGGGGCAGGCGGAAUUCCUGGUGUAGCGGUGAAAUGCGUAGAUAUCAGGAGGAACACCGGCGGCGAAGGCGGCCUGCUGGACCGUGACUGACGUUGAGGCUCGAGAGCGUGGGGAGCAAACAGGAUUAGAUACCCUCGUAU
rnacentral:rRNA from 1 species